CAAACUCCGGCACCAGCGUAUGGAUCUUAUCCAGACAAAGGAUCAGUACAUAUUUCUACACGAUGCUUUGAUAGAGGCCCUUCCUUCGUCUGACAGACUGACAAGAAGAGACCUGUGAAUGCGAGGUCCU